rnacentral:lncRNA from 1 species
CAUUGACAAUGGUCAUGGGAGAUGACAUGGUGAAGGUUAUUGCUUGGUAUGACAAUGAGUGGGGUUACUCACAAAGGGUUGUUGAUUUGGCUGACAUUGUUGCCAAUAACUGGAAGUGAGAGCCAAAUAAUGUUUUUCAAUUAUAUAUAUGUAUGUAUCAUGUGCCAUUGUAAUUUUGUACACUUCUUUUUUCUUUAAUCUUCUAAACUUGUAUUGAGAGAUAGAACUAUCAAUUUUCUCUUGUUCCCCAUUGUGCAAUAAAAAUUCUUACCUUCAAAUCUAAAUGUUGAUACUAGGCCUCCAAAUCUAUGUAUUAUCUUCAUGAAUUGAUCUUUUCAUUUGAAUCAACUCAUAAAAGAAUGUAACUCUAUGUUGAAGGUUAUGGAAAAUAAUUAAAGUGAAUCAUAAGGAUGUUAAUGACAUGCUAAUAAUGCAGUGAAGAGAAGAAUGAAUCAAGAAUCAAAACAAAAUGUCAUUAUAGAGUGAUUGGGAAAUCACCAAAUUGUAUUGAAUUGUAAUGUAAUGAAUAGGGUAUUGUAUCAUCAACUUGUAUCACUAGUGGCUAGCUAUGAGGGUGAUAAAUGAGGCCAAAUCCAAACACUUGGGUGCUGCCACAAUCUGCAAAAGGAGUAAACCCACAGCAUAAUCUACAGAAAAGGAUUACACGGUGUAACUGUGUUAACACAGUAGUCAUUAUUGACCGUCCAAUCAACAAUAAAUGGCUGAGAUUAAACCUGUGUAUAAACUACAUUAAUCAAUCAAAACUGUCUGAAUGCUUUUGGAGGGCUGAGAUUGCUUACGGCGUGUAACCGCGUGAAGCAGUUAACGCGGUCAAUCGAGAUCCUACCCACUUUAACAUGUUUUCACACAAAAAAAGUGAGUGUCUUUAAUUUAUUAGCAAAAAAAGGAACAUCUAUGCAAUGUGUAUAGAUGACAUGCUGAACAUGGUGCCAUGUUCUCAAAGAUGACUUAAAUGACAAUGUGUGUGAUGACGAAUCAGUAAUUCGUGCAAAAAAUACUCAUCAAUUUGAACAUGGAAAUAGAUUGCAAAUUGGCAAUAAUCAUUGAACAUAAAUACAACAUUACAUCUUAGUACUUGAUAUAAUUGUUGAUUAUAAUUUCACUUGCUAUUAGAUAUAAUAGUACAUUUCCCAUAAGGGUAGCUCAAAUGGUAGCUACCAAAUACAUUAUUGAAGUGGCCGAGGUUCGAACCCCGGAUUCCACACAUCUUCACAUUUAAAUGUGUGAGAGUCUAGCCACUAGACUUCUUAACAAAAAAAAAAAAG